AGCGGAGGAAAAGAAACCAACCGGGAUUGCCUUAGUAACGGCGAGUGAAGCGGCAAAAGCUCAAAUUUGAAAUCUGGUACCUUCGGUGCCCGAGUUGUAAUUUGGAGAGGGCAACUUUGGGGCCGUUCCUUGUCUAUGUUCCUUGGAACAGGACGUCAUAGAGGGUGAGAAUCCCGUGUGGCGAGGAGUGCGGUUCUUUGUAAAGUGCCUUCGAAGAGUCGAGUUGUUUGGGAAUGCAGCUCUAAGUGGGUGGUAAAUUCCAUCUAAAGCUAAAUAUUGGCGAGAGACCGAUAGCGAACAAGUACAGUGAUGGAAAGAUGAAAAGAACUUUGAAAAGAGAGUGAAAAAGUACGUGAAAUUGUUGAAAGGGAAGGGCAUUUGAUCAGACAUGGUGUUUUGUGCCCUCUGCUCCUUGUGGGUAGGGGAAUCUCGCAUUUCACUGGGCCAGCAUCAGUUUUGGUGGCAGGAUAAAUCCAUAGGAAUGUAGCUUGCCUCG
rnacentral:rRNA from 1 species